CCAAUCUCAGUUCGGAUUGGAGUCUGCAACCCGACUCCAUGAAGCUGGAUUCGCUAGUAAUCGCGCAUCAGCCACGGCGCGGUGAAUACGUUCCCGGGCCUUGUACACACCGCCCGUCAAGCCAUGGAAGCCGGGAGUGCCUGAAGUGCGUGACCGCAAGGAGCGUCCUAAGGCAAUACCGGUGACUGGGGCUAAGUCGUAACAAGGUAUC
rnacentral:rRNA from 1 species